GGAAGCGUGCGUCGGACAUGGUACACCUUGGAUGGGAUGCUAGCACUUCACAGAGCUGUCAAAAACAUUCAGUCGCUGACAAAUACACACACUGCAGAUUUAUGCAAACACCGCCGUGAGCGCCUCUCUCCUCCACACGCCAUUUGCAGCAGCAGCGGCCGUGUCCAGUCCGAGGGAUGAAUCCACUCCUGCUGCAAAAUGACAGAACCUUGUGUUUUCUGGCCUUCGCUGGGUGACUGAUAGGCCUGACGAGACAACGUCAACAGACCGACUUUCUCCAGCAAACCUCCUCCAAGACACAUCCUCCUGGUAGAUGGAGACAGCCACGUCCAAGAAUGAAACCCCAAAGUCAACAUGAGCGCAACACUUUCGACUGUUCAACCUCAGCCCAACUCUUCACCUUGGAAACACUAGCUGGAAUCGAACCAAAUCAUCUUUUGUGGUCUUCAUGGCGAUUUCAUAGUUUAUAUUCGCUUGAUUGAUACUGGAUUCACCCACAAGAAUGCUGUUUUAGAUAGUACAACCACAGAAAUGGUCCUCUAAGUCCUUGAGCUGAUUGUGUAGAUCUGAGAGCUGGAUGAACUGCAAUGAAACACAACAUUCGUUGUCCAAUCCACGGACGCAAGCCUGACCCUGACCGAGAACUAUAUGUAUCAGGUUCCAGAUUGAUUUUACUAGAUGCUGUGGAGAUUACAGACAGUAGCCACUCAGUCUAGACACCGUUUCUGUUGCUUCAGAGUCAGACAAAGGAGUGACGGGUAUUAG